GUGCUCACUUUGGAAGUAUAUAUACUAAAAUUGGAAUGAUAUAAAGAUUAGCAUGGCCUCUGUGCAAGGAUGAUAUGCAAAUUCAUGAAGUGCUUGAUAUUUUA